rnacentral:ncRNA from 1 species
UUUUUGGAGAGUUUGAUCCUGGCUCAGGACGAACGCUGGCGGCGUGCUUAACACAUGCAAGUCGAACGGAAAGGCCCCCACUUUUUUGGUGG